UACGGAGGGGGCUAGCGUUGUUCGGAAUGACUGGGCGUAAAGGGCGCGUAGGCGGCCAUCUAAGUCAGACGUGAAAUCCCCCGGCUUAACCUGGGAACUGCGUCUGAUACUGGACGGCUGGAGUUUGGGAGAGGGAUGUAGAAUUCCAGGUGUAGCGGUGAAAUGCGUAGAUAUCAUCAGGAACACCGGAGGCGAAGGCGGCUCACUGGGGGUUAUCUGACGCUGAGGAACGAAAGCCAGGGGAGCGAACGGG
rnacentral:rRNA from 1 species